GACGAACGCUGGCGGCGUGCUUAACACAUGCAAGUCGAGCGGUAAGGCCCUUUCGGGGGUACACGAGCGGCGAACGGGUGAGUAACACGUGGGUGACCUGCCCUCAGCUCUGGAUAAGCCUGGGAAACCGGGUCUAAUACCAGAUAUGACUCCAUGACGCAUGUUGUGGGGUGGAAAGCCUUGUGCGGCUGAGGAUGGGCCCGCGGCCUAUCAGCUUGUUGGUGGGGUGAUGGCCUACCAAGGCGA
rnacentral:rRNA from 1 species